rnacentral:lncRNA from 1 species
AUGUCUCCUGCGGCGGGCCUCGGCCAGCGGAGAAAGCUGCGACCCAGCCGCUGGGCCACCCCCUGCCCUCAAACGCGAGGCAUGAACGGACCGCCCGCGCCGCGGCGACGCCGAGAGCACCAGUCACCGGCGGGGUCCGGAGCGGCGCGGACGGAAGGAAAGAAAACCAUGUGGAUAGCUGAGAUCUUCUGUGAAGAAAGGAAAAGACAAAAGGCCGUAGAUCCAAAACUUAUAGAAAAUCAACGUUUAGAAUUUCAACUGUGGAGGAAGGACCAAAAAAAUGCAAGAAGCAGGAAAAAAUGUGCCCCUCAGUUGCUUGGCACGGAGCCAGAUUCGCUAGGACUUUCCGAGCACACCACUGUCAGGAAGCCACGGAAGCCGUGCGCAUCGCCGCCCGAGCAGCCCAGGGCGCUCUGCGGGCUCCGGCACUCUGUCCAGUGCUCUCGACUUGCGCUUCACUUCACGCUGAAAACCCAGCGCUUUGUGUUCAGUUUAAGGUCUUCCCAACGUGUGAGGUUAAGAAGACAUCUUUACCUGUUUAAAUCAGGGAAGCAAUGGACAUGAUUAAAUAGAAAUCAUACUUUACGUAGUAUUAAAGGUGACAUCCAUCUAUGUAAAUUUAGUGUAAUGGAAGACUUAGUUUAUAACUAAGAAUGUAAUAUUCUUAAUCCAAAAAUAAAAACCUGCUUUGCUUGACAAAGGUUACUGAAUUGAUGUUUUGUAGUGUGUUUAGGUGCCAAAAAAGCCAUUUUGGUUUCAGCAAAGAAUAGUCAUUUUCCAAUUCACAUCAUAUAAUUCCAGUGUUGUAGGUCAAAACACAUCCUUCUUCCCUUGAAAAACAAAGACAAGGGACCCUGUAUGGUUUGCUCUUAUGUUGUUGUUUUAUUUUGUUUUGAUACGUCCCAAGAUUUCUGCUUUAUUGGCUAUGCCAAAGCCUUUGACUGUGUGGAUCACA